GUCCUAUUUGGCCAUGUAUAUUCAAUCAAAAUGUUUGCAAUAUUAUGGAUUUAUGCAAAUGCCAACAGAGAUUCGAGCAGAGCCUCAUUGAGGAAAUGUUCGCUUACAGUUGAAUGACCACAAGGCCAAGCGAAAGAAGCUGAAAUGAAACCAGAAGAAUGCUCAAAAGGUAGAGAGCAAUGAAAUCGACAAGAAGCGAAACAAAACGAAACGAGAAAUGUCGCCAAAGAAAUGAGAAAUGAAAUAAAUGAAGCAACGAAUACACGUGUGUGAAUGAAAGAGAAAACACACAAGGGGAAAUUACAUGAAACACACACAUAGUUCAUGUCAUGACAUCAAAAAAAAAAAUGGAGUCGAAAAUUUAAAAGGAUCUGAAGGACACGGCAAAAGAGAUUAACAAGCCAACUUCGUGCGGCCAAAAUAAAUCAAAAACAAAACACAAAGCACACAAAUCAAA